AGGUGAAGAAACCAUAGCUCAGAUGGGAAGUGGUUGCCCAAGUGGAUGCAUAGUGACUAAACAGGUGGCAGAAUCAAAGUGUAUAUCUGGAUAUUACUGAGCCUCACAAAAGAAGAAAGUGUUACCAUGCUACAAACAGUAGUUAGCCCUCAAGGACAUUAUGGAUCAUAUACUGCAUUUGGCUGCCAUGUGUUCUACGAGCAACUUGUAACUCUGAUUCCAGAUUGAUGGACAUCUGCCCCUUUUGUCCACUGCAUUGACCUACGGAAGAGACCAGUUAAAUGUCCAGCAAAGCUCCAAGUGCCUGAGUCACUAAGGCUUUCCACGCGGGGACAAUGUCCACUCGAUGCGAUGUGAGCUACACAGACUGACCUUCAAGUAUCUUCUUCCUUUAUUGAAAAGAAUCCACAUAUGCUUAAUCUACUUUUUACAAAUCUGGGCAUGAGUAAAUUCCAAGCUCUCCUUGCCAGUAGUUUUCAUCAAAAAAGAAUCAUAUUUAAGGUCAGCAUUUGAUAGACAAGGAUGGAAAAUACAGUAGCAUCAUCAAACCAUCGAUGGGUUUAAAGCCAGUGUUCUGCAGCUUUUUUUCAUAAUGGCUAGGACAUGGAACCAACCUAGGAGCCCAUCAAUGGAUGAAGGGAUAAAGAAGACUAUGCAAAAUGGAUGGAACUGGAGAGAUCCAUGUAUUAAGUAGAAUAAACCAGACACAGGAAGCUGAACAUGGUGUAUUAUGUCUCGUACAUGGAAGCUAAGAAAAAAAUUGGUGUGACGGGUGAGGGCAGAGGGAAUAAAAAGAGAUUGGAUAAUGGGUACCAAAACACAGACAGAAGAGAUAAGUUCUGGUGUUUUUCAGGAAAGACUAUUAUUCACAAUAAACUAUUACACAUUUUCUGAAAUCUAGAAGGAAGGUAUUUGAGAGCUCCAAAUAUAAGGAAAUUAUAAUCUAGGACAGAAAAAAGAAAUCAUAGGGAGACAAAAUGUUCAUUAUUGUCUUGAUCUGAUCAGUGCAUGCUGCAUGAUAUGUUGAAAUAUUAAAUGCACUUUCUUUAUAUUUCAAUUAUUACAUGUUAGUUAAAAUAAAUUCCCAUGCUUGGCCCCACCCUUGGAGAUUCUGAUGGAAUAAAAUAUGUGCAGACAUCUGGAUUUUAAAAAGUUCUACAGGUACAACUCACGUGUCCAUCAAUAAGAGUCUAGAUACAUGAAAUAUAGGUUACCCAUACAAUAGAAAGCUAACAACUUAGCAAUUAAGAGUAAAAAGCUGUCAAUUUAUGAAGCAGCUUGGAUGAAGCUUUCAGAGAUCAAGUGAAAAAAGCUAGUCACUAAAGAGCACAGUGUGUCACAUUUUUAGGAAGUUCAAAAGAACGCAAAAGUGUUACAUAGUGUUAGAAAUAAAAAUUUUGGCUUCUACUGAGUGGGAGUAGAGAAAUUGACAAUCAAAGGGGCACAAGGACAUUUUAUGGGGCUGAUAAAAAUACUUUGUAUGUUUUUUAGGUGAUGGUCUAUGUAGAUAGAUGCACAUAAUUUCAAAAGUUAACAAAAUGAAUCUUUUUCUUUUUUAGCCCCCCCCCCAUCCCAAGUGCUGGGGAGCAAACACAGGGUCUCAUUAGAAUACACGAGGCAAAUACUCUACCACUGAAGCACAUCUCCUGUCCAAUAAACUGAAUUCUUCAGUGA